AACGAACGCUGGCGGCAUGCCUAACACAUGCAAGUCGAACGAGACCUUCGGGUCUAGUGGCGCACGGGUGCGUAACGCGUGGGAAUCUGCCCCUUGGUUCGGAAUAACUUCGGGAAACUGAAGCUAAUACCGGAUAAUGACGUAAGUCCAAAGAUUUAUCGCCAAGGGAUGAGCCCGCGUAGGAUUAGCUAGUUGGUGGGGUAAAGGCUCACCAAGGCGACGAUCCUUAGCUGGUCUGAGAGGAUGAUCAGCCACACUGGGACUGAGACACGGCCCAGACUCCUACGGGAGGCAGCAGUGGGGGAAUAUUGGACAAUGGGGCGAAAGCCUGAUCCAGCAAUGCCGCGUGAGUGAUGAAGGCCUUAGGGUU
rnacentral:rRNA from 1 species